GCCCUUCACAUCCCCAUGGAUCAGACUUAUGUUCAAAGUGUCCUUCGGGACUAUGGACAUAAACGCGCGCGUAAUAAGCGGAUCGGACCCGGGGGCGGUACCCGGCAGCUCCACCAAACACCCGUUCAUUUGGCGGUAGAUGGGGCUGAAAUAGGAUCGACGAACGUCUAAAGGUGUUAGCUUUGUCUCGGCUGUCUGCCACCGUUAUCGGCGAAAACUGUACAAUUGCAAAUGACAAUCGUGCUCCAGUAGCAAUGGCUGCGUAAGCGGUCGGAGAUACUGAAAUCUAAAGCCCUAGGGUCAAGCAACGCUAGGCGGGGUUACGGGGGUUCCUGGCAACAGAAUACCCCCACU
rnacentral:tmRNA from 1 species